rnacentral:miRNA from 1 species
CAUACUUAUAAGGAUAACCUGU